GACGAACGCUGGCGGCGUGCUCAACACAUGCAAGUCGAACGAGGCCCUCUCUUCGGAGGGGUGUUCUAGUGGCGAACGGGUGAGUAACACGUGGGCAACCUGCCCCCGGCUCUGGGAUAACUCCAAGAAAUUGGGGCUAAUACCGGAUAUGACUGCUGACCGCAUGGUCUGGUGGUGGAAAGAUUUAUCGGCUGGGGAUGGGCCCGCGGCCUAUCAGCUUGUUGGUGGGGUAGUGGCCUACCAAGGCGACGACGGGUAGCCGGCCUGAGAGGGUGACCGGCCACACAGGGACUGAGACACGGCCCAGACUCCUACGGGAGGCAGCAGUGGGGAAUAUUGCGCAAUGGGCGAAAGCCUGACGCAGCGACGCCGCGUGGGGGAUGACGGCCUUCGGGUUGUAAACCUCUUUCAGUAGGGACGAAGCGGAAGUGACGGUACCUACAGAAGAAGCACCGGCCAACUACGUGCCAGCCGCCGCGGUAAUAC
rnacentral:rRNA from 1 species